rnacentral:misc_RNA from 1 species
GAUGAAGAACGCAGCGAAAUGCGAUAAGUAAUGUGAAUUGCAGAAUUCAGUGUAUCAUCGAAUCUUUGAACGCACAUUGCGCCCGCCAGCACUCUGGCGGGCAUGCCUGUUCGAGCGUCAUUUCAACCAUCAAGCCCCCAGGGGCUUGUGCUGGGGCCCUGCGGCUGCCCGCAGGCCCUGAAAACCAGUGGCGGGCUCGCUAGUCACACCGAGCGCAGUAGCACAUCUCGCUCAGGGCGUGCGGCGGGCUCCUGCCGUGAAACCCCCCACUGUAACCCCAAAGGUUGACCUCGGAUCAGGUAGGAAUACCCGCUGAACUUAAGCAUAUCAAUAAGCGGAGGA